rnacentral:rRNA from 1 species
AUUGAACGCUAGCGGGAGGCUUUACACAUGCAAGUCGAACGAGUGGCGGACGGGUGAGUAAUAUCUCGGAACGUGCCCAGUAGCGGGGGAUAACUACUCGAAACGGUGGCUAAUACCGCAUACCAUUAGAGCGGCCGAGAUGGGAUUAGCUAGGUGGUGGGGUAAAGGCUCACCAAGGCAACGAUCCGUAGCUGGUUUGAGAGGACGACCAGCCACACUGGGACGGAGACACGGCCCAGACUCCUACGGGAGGCAGCAGUGGGGAAUUUUGGACAAUGGGGGAAACCCUGAUGCAGCCAUCCCGCGUGUAUGAGAAGGCCUUCGGGUUGUAAAGUACUUUUGGCAGGGAGGCGUUAUCUGCAGAAUAAGCACCGGCUAACUCCGUGCCAGCAGCCGCGGUAAUUC